CAGUCGCCGCGGUAAUACGGAGGGUGCAAGCGUUAUCCGGAUUUAUUGGGUUUAAAGGGUCCGUAGGCGGACUUAUAAGUCAGUGGUGAAAGCCUGUCGCUUAACGAUAGAACUGCCAUUGAUACUGUAAGUCUUGAGUAUAUUUGAGGUAGCUGGAAUAAGUAGUGUAGCGGUGAAAUGCAUAGAUAUUACUUAGAACACCAAUUGCGAAGGCAGGUUACCAAGAUAUAACUGACGCUGAGGGACGAAAGCGUGGGUAGCGAACAGGAUUAGAUCCCCUGUAGUCCCUGUCUCUUAUACA
rnacentral:rRNA from 1 species